GAAAGAAUGUUUCACGUCUUGUUCAACUCUCUUCUCCCCAUGAUUGUUUGCGAGUUCUCACAUUGCACGUGUGUCCUGUACUCGUGGCAGCAGAGCGCAGGAGGACUCUGGGUAAUUACCCGGGGGGGUCGGCGCUCAUCCGUCCACUUAGACACCGGGAAGCUGCCGGGGGUUGAAAGGCUUUCUAAUAAUUAAACACCUCUAAUGUCUGGUUCCGUCUGUGUGAGACAGACUGGAAAUCACUUCCGUCCCGUUGACUCGGCGGUGGGACGAUGAGGUCCGAGUCCCCCGCGCGCAGCUCGUUUUCGGUCCAGCGGUCGUCCCGGGCUUCCCUCUGCGCCUGUAAGUUCAUUUCUCAGCUGGCUGUAACACACACGCGCGCACACACACACACACUCUGUGUUCUUUCACCGCCUCCACAUUAUUGGACAUAAACUCCCCAAGUCGCAGACACGCAGAGGAAGGGCGAACGCGGCGGGCGGAGGCUUCAUUCCUGCAUUCGGGACUCGCCCUUUCACCGGGAGACGCGUGGUCACGUCGGUUUGAGUGUUCAAGCCUUUCAAAGUGACCACAAGCAGCCGAGGAGACGAGGGCGCCAACACGGGCUGGGCCUCGCUACUAUAUGUGGAUCACCGGGGGAGAGGGGGGGGAGAGAGGGUGAGGGGGGGUUAUCAGUAUUUGCUUGGGAUCGUCACGCGUCUCAACCGAUGACAGCAUUUGGGGGCGGGCCUUAAGACGCGACAGGAAAAUAAAAAAAGGUUUUACUGGCUUACUGUAGGUUCAAGGAGAAGUUUACCUCUCGACUGAACAGUUAUUCACGUCCACAGAGGAAAAGGAGCCACUCUGAACCUGCUCCGUUUAACGCGAGCACAGAAGGAACGAGGCGUCGGGCCACUGCACAUCUGAGCCGCUAUGAAAGGAAGCCGUCAUCAGAGGAGGAGGUGAGGCAGAGGGACGACGUCCCCCGCAGAGACCACUGGGAGGGGUGGUGAUGGGACGCAGGCAGGAGAGAGAAGGACAUGAAGGGCGAGAGGCGGAGGCCAGGAGGGAAACUCCCCCCCCUCCCCCCUUAUGAACAACGCUUUCCCUCUCUGAGCUCCACACGGGACGCACGCGCUCUGCUGCACGGCAGCCGCCACUCGUUUGAGAAUAAACCCAAGGAUUUACAGAGGGGGACAAUCUGGAGGUAUUUCCCUGGGAAGGACAUCUGGAGCCUCGGGGG
ensembl:lncRNA